rnacentral:rRNA from 1 species
AGAGAGAGACAUGCGCGCAUAUCAAUAAGCGGAGGAAAAGAAACUAACUAGGAUUCCCUCAGUAACGGCGAGUGAAGCGGGAAGAGCUCAAAUUUGAAAUCUUCAAGGUUCUACCUUGACGAAUUGUAGUUUAAAGAAGUGUUUUCUGUUGGAGUUUUGGUAAAAGUUCUUUGGAAUAGGACAUCAUAGAGGGUGAGAAUCCCGUAUUUGACCAUUAUUUCCAGCUUUGUGAUACACUUUUAAAGAGUCGGAUUGUUUGGGAAUGCAGUCCAAAAUGGGUGGUAAAUUUCAUCUAAAGCUAAAUAUUGGCGAGAGACCGAUAGCGAACAAGUACCGUGAGGGAAAGAUGAAAAGAACUUUGAAAAGAGAGUUAAACAGUACGUGAAAUUGUCAAAAGGGAAGCGUUUGACACCAGUGUUGUUUUCUCGAAAAUCAAUUAAAAAAGGCAGGAUUUUGUGUUGUAUUGACUUUAUCAGCUUUCUGCACUCUUUUCUUGUCUUUUUUAAUGCACUUUUCGUUUAACAAGUCAACAUCAAUUUCUUUUGUUGUAAAAGGGUCAUUGGAAGGUGGCUUUCUUUUCGGAGAAAGUGUUUAUAGCCUUUGGCCUCUGCAAUCGGAGAGAUUGAGGUCUGCAGCGUAGAUCCUUCGGGGUUAAAUAGCAUUUGUGCUAAGUUAUAGCCUUUCAUAGACAACUUGUUGACUAUGAUCAGUCAUGUAGCUUACUCGCUUAUGCUAUUUUACCUACGCUUAGGAUGUUGAUGUGAUACUGCGAGCA